rnacentral:lncRNA from 1 species
AUGGCGCGGCUGCGGCGACUCCGCUUACUCGCAAUCGUUCAGCUCGCCGUGGCGAUCUGGCUGGCGGCCACGAGUAGCUACCAGUGCAAGCUCGACGCCGUCCCGCCACCGCCGCCGCCGCCGACCGUGCUGGUGGACGGCGGCCUCCGUGCUGAGUUUUUCUUUUUUUACGCCAAGUCACCAAAUUUCUCGAUCUUGGGCGCAGUUAAUCAGCCUGCCGUCCCUGGUCUGUCCCUGCAGGUGGCUGCGCCCUCAAACUCGGAGAAGGAAGGAGAGGGCGGUGAGGCUCAGCAGCGACGGCUGGUUUGGCACAGCUCCGGAUCUAGCCGAGCUAAGUUCUUCUCUCACUCUCACUCCACCUGUGAUGACGAUGACCAGCACGCCGAUAGCUGACGGUGCCACA